rnacentral:rRNA from 1 species
AGAGUUUGAUCCUGGCUCAGAUUGAACGCUGGCGGCAGGCCUAACACAUGCAAGUCGAGCGGUAGAGAGAAGCUUGCUUCUCUUGAGAGCGGCGGACGGGUGAGUAAUGCCUAGGAAUCUGCCUGGUAGUGGGGGAUAACGUCCGGAAACGGACGCUAAUACCGCAUACGUCCUACGGGAGAAAGCAGGGGACCUUCGGGCCUUGCGCUAUCAGAUGAGCCUAGGUCGGAUUAGCUAGUUGGUGGGGUAAUGGCUCACCAAGGCGACGAUCCGUAACUGGUCUGAGAGGAUGAUCAGUCACACUGGAACUGAGACACGGUCCAGACUCCUACGGGAGGCAGCAGUGGGGAAUAUUGGACAAUGGGCGAAAGCCUGAUCCAGCAAUACCGCGUGUGUGAAGAAGGCCUUAGGGUUGUAAAGCACUUUCAAUUGGGAGGAAAAAACAAGGGUCAAUACCCCUUGUCUUGACAUUACCUUUAGAAGAAGCACCGGCUAACUCCGUGCCAGCAGCCGCGGUAAUACGGAGGGUGCAAGCGUUAAUCGGAAUUACUGGGCGUAAAGAGUGCGUAGGCGGCUCGUUAAGUCAGAUGUGAAAGCCCUGGGCUCAACCUGGGAACUGCAUUUGAAACUGGCGAGCUAGAGUUGAGUAGAGGUAAGUGGAAUUUCAGGUGUAGCGGUGAAAUGCGUAGAUAUCUGAAGGAACACCAGUGGCGAAGGCGACUUACUGGACUCAAACUGACGCUGAGGUACGAAAGCGUGGGUAGCAAACAGGAUUAGAUACCCUGGUAGUCC